rnacentral:lncRNA from 1 species
GUGAAAGGAGGCCUUUGCAAAAUAGAAAAAGUACUUUCAUUCCAGAGAGAGCCCUAGGAAUUAAAAAAAAGAGGAAUCUGCAAAGAAAAGCAGUAGGGGAGAGAGCUAAUACCACUAGUUUCAUUCUCAUAAGGGAAAGAGAGACAUUUUAGAAAAGAUCUAUUGUGUGAACUUGAAAACAAGAUGUAGGGUCAGAAAUGCUGUGGUGGCAGGUCCGUGGAGGAAGUAGCCAUCAAAUAAUAGCCUUGAUUGCAAGCCAGUGUUAAUUAGGCUUGUGGGGCCCUCAAUGAGCAAAGAAGAUUGAGCUCUAACCAUCAGUUCCCCACAUGAAGGUUUAUUGUAAUAUGAAAAAGUUAUUUAAAUUUCACUUCACGUUGUCCUUUUGAAUCCUCGCAUUAAUAAAAUCGUUUUCAGUGGAAAUAGCAGCAGCAAGAAAUAGAAAAUACUAACAGCAAGAUUUUUUUUUUAAUGCCCAUAAGAAGCAGCUUGGAAAUUGACACUCGGUUGCCAGGCACGUUUUACAGCUUUGCUCUUUACCAUGGAACAGAGAUAAUUUUCCUUAUGGAGAAUUUACAAGUUUCCAGAUGCAUUAUGCUGAAGAUAGCCAGGAUCCAGUACAAGGUUGGUGUCCCACUACAAAGCAAGGGCCUGCCACAACCAGAUGCAUGUUUCAACGACAUCGAAAGACUCACCUUGGACUCAUUGCUGACUUGUCAACCAGAACUCCAAUAUCUGAGUUUGUCAAGAUGAGCAGUUUUGCCAGCUCUUCAUUGUGAAGUGAGAGGAAGAUAUCUUGGAAAUGAGAGCGAAAAGACACCAGGACCAUGACUACUUUUACUUCCAUUCCACAAUGCCCAUCCUCUCCAAACCUCAAAGUUUAUGGGUUGAUGAGGUCAUUUUGCCAAGGUCACAGACCUCAGGGCUGUUCUGGGAUAGGGACAUCAAGCUGUGUGUUCUGCCUCUUAUUUUAUUG